UUAAUACUCCCUCCGUCCCAAAAUAAGUGUCUCAAGCUUAGUAUAACUUUGUACUAAAGCUAGUACAAAGUUGAGACACUUAUUUUGGGACGGAGGGAGUAAUAU
rnacentral:pre_miRNA from 1 species